GCUGGGUGCGGUGGUUCACACCUGUAAUCCCAGCACUUUGGGAGGCCGAGGUGGGUGGAUCACCUGAGGUCAGGAGUUCAAGAACAGCCUGGCCAACAUGGUGAAAACCCAUCUCUA
rnacentral:SRP_RNA from 1 species